rnacentral:rRNA from 1 species
AAACUUAAAUGAAUUGACGGGGACCCGCACAAGCGGUGGAUGAUGUGGUUUAAUUCGAUGCAACGCGAAAAACCUUACCCACCUUUGACAUGUACGGAAUCCUGCAGAGACGCAGGAGUGCUCGAAAGAGAGCCGUAACACAGGUGCUGCAUGGCUGUCGUCAGCUCGUGUCGUGAGAUGUUGGGUUAAGUCCCGCAACGAGCGCAACCCUUGCCAUUAGUUGCUACGAAAGGGCACUCUAAUGGGACUGCCGGUGACAAACCGGAGGAAGGUGGGGAUGACGUCAAGUCCUCAUGGCCCUUAUAGGUGGGGCUACACACGUCAUACAAUGGCCGGUACAAAGGGUUGCCAACCCGCGAGGGGGAGCCAAUCCCAUAAAGCCAGGUCGUAGUCCGGAUCGCAGUCUGCAACUCGACUGCGUGAAGUCGGAAUCGCUAGUAAUCGUGGAUCAGCAUGUCACGGUGAAUACGUUCCCGGGUCUUGUACACACCGCCCGUCACACCAUGGGAGCGGGUUCUGCCAGAAGUAGGUAGCCUAACCGCAAGGAGGGCGCUUACCACGGCAGGGUUCGUGACUGGGGUGAAGUCGUAACAAGGUAGCCGUAUCGGAAGGUGCGGCUGGAUCACCUCCUUUAUG